GAACCACCGUUCCCAUUAGCGAGUCGCCAGAACUCGGGUUACCGCUGUCUGUGCCGCAGUGCACAGCAUGAGGACUUAUCGCUGACCGUGUAAACCAAUAUCUGUAAAAUAUCCAACGUCCAACUUCAAGCUAACUUCACCGCGGUGAACGGACCACAUCCCGAAGCCGAUGCCCACACAGGUUACCACCGCGGUGGAGGUCAGGACAGUCCGCAUCCCGCUCAUCCCGAGCAAAUAGGAGAUCCUGGAGGUGUCUCCGGUUCUGGUCCGAGGAGCAACACACAACUCAAACGAAUUUGCUCUUAUAGCUUAGAACGCCGCUCCGGUGUUACACCUAAAUGCGUCCCUAUGGAACUGAUGACAUAAGGAGUCCUUUGUGUGUGCUUUGCGUAUGUGAGGGUUUAUUUACAACCUAAACACGUGUAAGUAUGACGUUAGGUGGUCAGUAUGUGUUUGCCGUGCUGAAAAUGAAGAAUAGGAAGCCAGGAGUUUUAUUGUAUUGUCAUUGCAGCGAACAGGGGGCGUAUUUUGGAAUUGUAAGAUGUUCAAGGAAGGUCCCGCCUUUCUUGCCUCUGAUUGGCUAGGUGGGCUCUACUACGAUUGGCUAUUUCAUUUAGCAGUAAACGUCAUCUCUUGCUAAGUGCACUGUCCUCUUACCACCAACAGAACAGCUGGUUUGAGGAAUUUAUUUAUUUAUUUUUUUAAAAGAAAAUAAGAACUUAGCGCCAUUCUUUCCUGUUUUGCUAAAGUUUUUUUUUGUCUUUGAUGAAAAAACUGAAAAAUGUAAGAAGUGAACUUAUAAAUCUUGUUGCAUUUAUCACACUGUGGGACUUACUUUAUGUCUAUGGCUCUAAAGCAUUGAGGUUAUCUUAUUACAGCAGAGUACAUAGGAGAAACUUAUGAAAUAUAAUAAAACUGCCCUAUUUUAC